rnacentral:rRNA from 1 species
GUGGGGAAUCUUGGACAAUGGGCGCAAGCCUGAUCCAGCCAUGCCGCGUGAGUGAAGAAGGCCUUAGGGUUGUAAAACUCUUUCGCCGGUGAAGAUAAUGACGGUAGCCGGAGAAGAAGCCCCGGCUAACUUCGUGCCAGCAGCCGCGGUAAUACGAAGGGGGCUAGCGUUGUUCGGAAUUACUGGGCGUAAAGCGCACGUAGGCGGAUUGGAAAGUUGGGGGUGAAAUCCCCGGGCUCAACCCGGGAACUGCCUUCAAAACUUCCAGUCUUGAGGUCAGGAGAGGCGAGCGGAAUUCCGAGUGUAGAGGUGAAAUUCGUAGAUAUUCGGAGGAACACCAGUGGCGAAGGCGGCUCGCUGGACUGAUACUGACGCUGAGGUGCGAAAGCGUGGGGAGCAAACAGGAUUAGAAACCCGGGUAGUCC